CAGCAGCCGCGGGAAUACGAAGGGUGCAAGCGUUAAUCGGAAUUACUGGGCGUAAAGCGUGCGUAGGCGGUUUGUUAAGUCUGCUGUGAAAUCCCCGGGCUCAACCUGGGAAUGGCAGUGGAUACUGGCAAGCUAGAGUGUGUCAGAGGAUGGUGGAAUUCCCGGUGUAGCGGUGAAAUGCGUAGAGAUCGGGAGGAACAUCAGUGGCGAAGGCGGCCAUCUGGGACAACACUGACGCUGAGGCACGAAAGCGUGGGGAGCAAACAGGAUUAGAGACCCGAGUAGUCCCUGUCUCUUAUAC
rnacentral:rRNA from 1 species